rnacentral:rRNA from 1 species
UCGCUGUGAAGAUGCAGUGUACCCGCGGCAAGACGGAAAGACCCCGUGAACCUUUACUAUAGCUUGACACUGAACAUUGAGCCUUGAUGUGUAGGAUAGGUGGGAGGCUUAGAAGUGUGGACGCCAGUCUGCAUGGAGCCGACCUUGAAAUACCACCCUUUAAUGUUUGAUGUUCUAACGUUGACCCGUAAUCCGGGUUGCGGACAGUGUCUGGUGGGUAGU